rnacentral:sRNA from 1 species
CACUCAGGUCGUGGAACCACACUGAGGAGAAUAAGAGGCGGACGUUGCAGAAGAACGAUAUUGCUGCUGCUGUGACUAGAACCGAUAUUU